UUCCACCAUUUAUUCUCCUCACUAAAAAUCAACUAUUAAAAAACCCACCCCUAUCAUCAUUCUCAAAAAAAAAAAAAAAAAAAACAACUCCCUUAAAACUACAACAAUAACUCCAACACGGCAGUUGCGGAAACACCGCACACCCCCUACUUCCGCCGCGAAAACCAUCGUGAAAACAUCAUCGACAACCCGAGCAACAACACGUGAACCACAGUGUCCUUUCCUGCAAAUCACUUAGUUCGAAGCUUCACGUUGCCGCCGGAUCUGAACCGUGUUCACACCUUCGCCAAAAACAAAAUCUCUGUUACGUGAAACAACGUUCAUCGUUGAUCUUUUCCGCGGUACAUUUAGUUGCUUACAGUUCUUUAAGAACUUGCUUGCUGCUGCUUGGUUUUUUAAACCACUUGAGGUGUCAACCGGUGCGCAUAGCUCGUUUGCUCAGAUAUCCUGCUAGGGGCAACAAAUCCAAACUGAUGGAUCCACUCAACACCGGUAAAGGCAGACAUGUUUGGGACUGGUUAUCCGGAUCGAGAGUCGUCUAGACCAAACAGAGGACGUCGUCCACCGUACAUCUUUGUCAGCGCAGGAAUGCUGGAUCCUGAUCAUGCUUGCUCAGUGAGUGAAGAGAUCGACCGCGAGCUAGAGCUGUGGAUAAAGUCGUGCGUACCAGGCGACUGGAAGGCCUCCAAAAGCAUCACUGUCGCUCAUCCGGAAGAGUAGUUUUUCUGUGUUAAUUUUGUUUGCAUGAAAGCCAUACGUUUCGCCCGAAACGUAAUGGUCCAUUGUAAGGGCCAUCUUAUGUGUUUCAUUUUGCAACAUUUUGCAUCAGUAAUGAAUGGAUGUUUUUGUGA